GCAAGUCGAACGAGAUUUAUGACUUCGGUUAUAAUGAAAGUGGCGCACGGGUGCGUAACGCGUAUGCAACCUACCCUUAACUGGGGGAUAGCCCGGAGAAAUUCGGAUUAAUACCCCAUAGUAUUCCAGAUUGGCAUCAGGAAGGAAUUAAAGAUUUAUUGGUUAAGGAUGAGCAUGCGUGCCAUUAGCUAGUUGGUAAGGUAACGGCUUACCAAGGCAAUGAUGUCUAGGGGUUCUGAGAGGAUGAUC
rnacentral:rRNA from 1 species